GGAGAUGAUGAUGAUUUGAAUUUUGUUUCCCUAUUGGUUUGAUGGCCGGAAUGAUGGCUAUCUUUGUAUUAGCUCUAUCUGAAUCUCC